CUGUGUAUAGCAUUAUUUCAUCCAGGUAUGGGGCAGGACCCCUUCUGAAAUGAGAGUCUUUUUUUAUUUUUAUUAUUUUUUUUAUUUUUAGUAGAGACAGGGUUUCUCCACAUCGGUCAGGCUGAUCUCGAACUCCUGACUUCAGGUGAUCCACCCACCUCGGCUUCCCAAAGUGCUGGGAUUACAGGCAUGAGCCACCAUGCCCAGCCUGAAAUGAGAGUCUUAUGAUCUACAAUUAGACAAGGCAGUUAGGUCUCCCGGACAUCACCUACAUGUCCCAUUUGUGCUUCAAACUUAAUGUGUUUCCAGCUGAAUUUAACUUCCUUCUCAAACCUGCUUCCUGUAUCCUUCAGAGUGCGUGGAACCAGCAUCCAGUCGACCGAACCAGAGACCUGGGAGCAGUAUAUAAUUCCAUCCUCUCUCACCUUUACUCACUAUAUAUGCUGAUGGUCACUGGGUAGUAUCAGUUAGGGUUUCUCUGGUUCCUAGCACAGAAACCAACUCAUGUAAACACAACAAGGUUUGUAGAAGAGUACUAGAGAAGUUCACAGAAACAAAGGAAAAUUAAAGAACUAGGCUUCAUGAAGGGUAGAAAGCAGGCAACUGUGGGGUUCUCCCCAAGAGGAGCUGGAAGACCAUCCCCCAGAGAACUACACCCACAUAAUUCGGCAACAAUACAGCCUUUCAUUUUCGGAUGAGGUGGAAUAAGAAUUAUAAACUCCAAACUUUUGAUUCAACCUUGGUUAAAAUGAAAAGAAACCAUUGGUUGCAAUGCUAUUGGAUGGGAGGUAAAUAAUCUUGUUGACGUAAAUCUUCAAGAAUCCAAACUACACUGCUGAUCCCCACAUUUCUCAACAACAAAAGAAGGAGAUGAUUAGAGGAAGUUUACAUUCUGAUGACUACAGGAACACAAUGAACAAGAUAUUGGCUCUAAGAGACGAAGGUCAUACUUAAGUUUCAAAUCUAUGCAUGCUCUAUUUCUUAUUAUCAUGACCAUGCCUUCUUUAAUGUUUAAUAAAGAGCAACAGACUCCUGUUUUAAGUAAAUUUUCUCAUUCACGCUAUAAAUGAGUUGACCAGCCUUGUAUUCACAUAUAUACUGUGUAGAUUCUUUUGUCAGACCAAGAGUAUUUUGAGUGACCCUCUCCCAUAGCUGUAGAUAUUAAAGUCACCUCUGAUACAGCUGAUUUCAAUGCAAUACAAAGCUGAUUUAUACAGUAGUAUCAGGAUCAAACUCCUGGGAGGGUUGGAAUUGAUUGAUUUAGUUUGGAUCACAUAUCCAUCCUGUCAGGGGGAGUUGAGAGUAUUAAUAUAGGAAUGGGGAUAGGAAAGUUGAACAAUAAGGUAAACAAUAAUAACCACAUCUGAUAUGGUUUGGCUCUGUGUCUUCACCCAAUCUCAUCUUAAAUUGUAAUCCCCACGUGUAGAGAGAGGGACCUGGAGGAAGUGAGUGGAUCAUGGGGGUGGUUCCCCCCAUGCUGUUCCCAAUAGUGAGGGAGUUCUCACAAGAUCUGGCAUUUCCCCUGCCCUCACUCUGUCUCUCUCCUGCCGCCAUGUAAGACGUGCCUUGCUUUCCCUUCACCUUCCACCAAGAUUGUAAGUUUCCUGAGGCCUCCUCAGGCAUACAGAACUGUGAGUCAAUUAAACCUCUCUU
rnacentral:lncRNA from 1 species